AUGAGUGCUUUGUAUGGACAUUUGUAUAAAGCUGCUUUGCAUGGAAAAUGGAAAACACAUGGGCAAGAAUCCCAAGGGAUUCCAGAAUACUGGAGUUACUAUGGGAAUAGUGGAUUCUCUUAUUUCACCAGUAAAGUCUUCAGGGUCACACCAACAUUAAAAAAGGAAUCCUUGGGAAGAAAUCCAGUCCAGUCCUUCCAUAGAUCGCUCAGAUUUGGAGAGAAUGACUAUAUUGUCAUCUCUAUAUUAUUCAUGCUGAUCUCUGCGGUAACUUGCUAUGGGUCUGUGAUCUUUGGAACACUGUGCCUCACAGCUUUGCCACCGUCAAAGAAAAUAAAAUGGACCACCCUGACCAUCACUCUAUGUUUUGUGUCUGGUAAGUGGAAUCAUCUUCCUAUUUGUCCCUGCAACUGUUUCCCAAAGUUUCUCCAAGUAAUAUUGUCUUCCUAGCUUUAGAUCAGCUUCAAAAGAAGGUGUUUUGUUUUACAAAAUAAUAAAAGCAAAUACUGUACUUUAGUGGAACAGGUUUUCAGAAAUGCAGUUUGUAAAAACUCGAUUGCUGUUCAUAACAAUUGCAUUGGCUUGUUAAAUAGGAUUAGGUUUCCACCUAUGUAAUCAUGAAGCCAAGAGGAAACUGAAGGUUACCUGGGAAGGCCAAGAGCUUGAACACUGUUCCCACCCUAAAAAUCUCGGCAUCACCUUAGACCAAAUGCGAACAUUUAGGAAACACAGUGCGAACACCAAGCACAAUGCCCUGCUUCAUGCACAGAGGAAGCUACAAAGGAUGUGGUCACUGUUGCCCAUUUUGGUCUAAAACUAUCUAGCAGCAUGUGAUCCUGUUGUUUUAUCAGUUUUAAACUUAUCUAUUUGUGCAAUGCUUUUGACAUGAAAUAAAAAAAUUAAAUAGGAUCUCAAUGGCCUGAAAAUCCCCAUUUCAACAGGAGUAAUCUGAAUGAGUGGGUAUCUUCAUGGUCCCAUCUUGGAUGAGUCCUUACUAAAAAAGAUUGUAUCCUAACACCAGCACCACCUGCCUGGCAACUUUUUGUUGCAAGUCUCACUUGAAUCAGUUUGGAAACGUCUCUGUUUUGAACUACAGCUCUCACAAUCCUCCAUCCAGUAUGACCAGUGGUAAAGCUGGUAGAAGGUUUCUAUGAGUUUGAAUCCUGGCUCUGAACAGAGACAUGUACAUUGUUAUUGGUUUGCACUGCUGUUGCACCUCUGGAAAAGUUGGGUAUUAUGCCAAAACUACAGGGAAAUGGGGAAAGAUGGAGAUCACUGUUAUGUAAACAAGAGGUACCAGCUUUCUGACUUCUUCAUAAUGGUCCUUCUGGCUCAAUCUACAUAUAUAAUCCAGUUUCAGAAUGUGGAUUAACUGGAUUAUAUGGCAGUGUAGAUCCAGCCUCUCCCUUGAUCUUCUGACUUUGUUCUCUCAUUUACUCUUGUUCAGGCUUCACAGGAGGGAUAGGCCUGUUCAAUUUCAUGAGGUUAUCUACUGAGGAGCCCAACACAUUCCUUUCAUGGUCCUUGGCGCCAGGAUGGUUCUCUGUUAUCAUAGUUUUAUUUGCAGGUAUGAGAUGCAAUGUGCAAAAAUAUGUGGGUUAUCUGCUUUGAUAAUCUGGAUUACACAGUAGUGUAGAAGGGGCCCGAGAGUGCAAGCCUGGAAAUAAACAGGACCUGUAUUAGGAUGCCCAGAGAGCUUCUCCUGGGUUUAGAUUUUGAUGCUUAAAAUUGACUAGUUGUGGCCUACUAGAUAUUGGUGAAUGAACCUAUGAUUGGCUCACUGAACAAGGGCUGAGUGGGAAUAGCAUUACAUAGCUCCACCACAACCAUCUUUACCAAACACUUAAUAACAUUGAAGUGUAAAUUUAACCACACUCUAAAAUUCUGGGAAAAUGGAAAAAAAAUUCCUGGUAUUUGAAAGACAGUAAUGCAUAUGUACCAAGUGAGCAUGGCAGAACAUUGAAGAAGGUUGCCACCUUUCCCAUAUUUUUGGGUUCCUCAAUUCAAAAGGGGGUCAGAUACCCAGAGAAAUACUAGAGCAGUGGUUCUCUACCUGGGGGACCUCGGGUGUUUUUGCCUUCAACUCCCAGAAAUCCCAGCCAGUAUACCAGCUGUUAGGAUUUCUGGGAGUUGAAGGUCAAAACAUCUGGGGACCACAGGUUGAGAACCACUGUACUAGAGGAAGUUUUAGCAGAGAUGGGUCGCUAAUAGGAACAGCAGAUCUUGGGAAAGUAAUUUUUGGAUGCCACAGCUCUCCAGGUUCCCCAGCUAGCAUUGAACGUGAUGGGCAGUGUAUUUCCAAAGGUAGUUUAUUUGGCUAGGAUUCUCAGCAAGCUACUGGAUUAAACUUACUUUGUCUUGUAGGUGUUUGCCACUUUGUGGCAAGGAAUUGGGAAGAGGAGGAAUUGGCCCAAACCCUUCUUGGGACCACAGUGGUCUUUACGCUGCAAGAGGACUGCGUGGCUAGGGCUGCUUCUGAAGAAGCCCAGCAGAAGAGAAAAAGACUGCCAGAAUCUGACACAUCUGCAUGACUCAGGAAUAAAUCCAUGUACAAGAAGUGACAAAAACUGCUGGGUGGGCCUGUGCCCACCUAAUGCCCAAAGGACGUUUUGGGGAAUUAGGAGAAAACACACUCAGCUUUGACAUAGUGUUUUACUUUGGGUUGAUACAAACUUCAAACAUUAAUCCAGGCUUGAAGAUAAGCAUACGUCCCCAUGUUGGGUGACACAUUCAGCUUGCUCCAGCCUGAACGGUUAAGAAGAAGUUAAUCCUGCCCUGGAAAGCAAGAAGUGUUCUUGUUGAGCGAGGCAGUGUGCUACCCACCUGAACUUUCCCUCAAUGUUUGGUAUGAUGUUUGUUGCCCCCUAAAUAAAUCCCUUUAGCAUGCUCAGCAUGUGCUCUUUCGUUCUUAUGGAUUCACUCAUAGUUAUUUAUUUAUUAUUUAUUAGUGACAUUUAUAUCCUGCACUUCUCACCCCGAUGGGGACUCAGGGCGGCUUACAAGUUAUAUGUACAUACAAUAUAUUAUUCGUUUAGCACAAUAUAAGAAUUAUAUAUUACUAUAUUGCACUAUAACACUAUAUUGUAAUAUUAUUAGUAAUGUUACAUGUAAUAUAAAUAUACC
ensembl:lncRNA